CCUACGGGAGGCAGCAGUGGGGGAUAUUGCACAAUGGGGGAAACCCUGAUGCAGCGACGCCGCGUGUGGGAAGACGGUCCUCUGGAUUGUAAACCACUGUCACCAGGGACGAAGAUGACGGUACCUGGGGAGGAAGCUCCGGCUAACUCCGUGCCAGCAGCCGCGGUAAGACGUAGGGCGCGAGCGUUGUCGGGAAUUACGGGGUGAAAGGGGAGCGUAGGCGGGACUGAAAGCUGGGUGGCAAAUCUACCGGCUCAACCGGUAGCCGCACUCAAAACUGCAGUUCUUGAGUGAAGUAGAGGCAGGCGGAAUUCCUAGUGUAGCGGUGAAAUGCGUAGAUAUUAGGAGGAACACCAGUGGCGAAGGCGGCCCGCUGGGCUUUAACUGACGCUGAGGCUCGAAAGUGUGGGGAGCAAACAGGAUUAGAUACCCGAGUAGUC
rnacentral:rRNA from 1 species